GAUGAACGCUGGCGGCGUGCUUAACACAUGCAAGUCGAACGGAAAGGCUCCUGCUUGCCGGGGUACUCGAGUGGCGAACGGGUGAGUAACACGUGGGUGAUCUGCCCUGCACUUCGGGAUAAGCUUGGGAAACUGGGUCUAAUACCGGAUAGGACCGCAUUUUGGAUGGUGUGGUGGAAAGUUUUUUCGGUGUGGGAUGAGCUCGCGGCCUAUCAGCUUGUUGGUGGGGUAAUGGCCUACCAAGGCGUCGACGGGUAGCCGGCCUGAGAGGGUGUACGGCCACAUUGGGACUGAGAUACGGCCCAGACCCCUACGGGAGGCAGCAGUGGGGAAUAUUGCACAAUGGGCGCAAGCCUGAUGCAGCGACGCCGCGUGGGGGAUGACGGCCUUCGGGUUGUAAACUCCUUUCGCUAGGGACGAAGAGUAAUUGACGGUACCUGGAGAAGAAGCACCGGCUAACUACGUG
rnacentral:rRNA from 1 species